CACAGGAUAAAAGAGUGAAAAAACUAACCAUAGCAUAAGAGGUUUGCCUUGAUUAUCCCUGUUCUCUCUAACAUCAUCAUUCCUGACCACUGCUUGAUUUUCCUUUGUCUAUAAAUAAGCACAUACUUGCUCUCUAUUCAAAGAAAACUGUUUUGAUCCUCUUGGCACCACUAGUUAAAGUUACUUGCUUUCAUUCUCCCGUUGGUUUUUGUAACAUUUUGCUCCUUUAUUUUCUUCCUAUUUUGACUGUUUCUUCCGUGUUGUACUUUCUAAACAUUCUACUACUCUUCUCCCAAAUAUGGGUUUAUAUUAAUGUCAAAUUAUUAGAACACAAUGGCUCACUUUUUCAAAAUGAAAAGGGUCUUGUCCUCCAGGCUGCAGUGCAAUGGGGCAAUCACAGCUCACUGCAACAUCUGCCUCCUAUGCUCAAGUGAUCCUCCUGUCUCAGUCACUUGUGUAGCUGGUACUACAGGCUGUACAAGAAACAAGGCACCAGAACCUGCCUCUGGUGAGGAGCUCGGGAAGCUUCCAAUCAUGGCGGAGGAGGAGGCGUCUUACCUGGCGACACAGGGAGCAAGAGAGAGAGGAAAGGGGUGCCACUGUCUUUUAAACAAAGAGCUAUUUUUUGAACUAAUAGAGCAAGAACUCAUUCAUUACCUUGUGGGGGCACCAAGCCAUUCAUAAGGGAUCCACCUCGAUGACCCAGACACCUCCCACUCAGCCUCACCUGCAACACUGAAGAUCAAAUUCCAGCAAAGAUUUGGAGGAGACCAAAUAUUCAAACCAUAGCCACAUGAGGGAUGUGUGUAUGAUUAUAUGCAGAUUCCAAUAAAUCAGGAUUGAAG
rnacentral:lncRNA from 1 species